AUGGAGAUGAAACCCAAAAGAUUUUCGUUGGGGCGUAACCCUCUCAGCGACGCGCCACAUCGGAACCCGGGUGUGGUGGAAAAUGGGCAAGGGCCGGGCCGUCACCCCCCAAGUGGCGCGCCGUAUCUUGAUCCGGAUACGGUGGCAAGUGAGCGAGGAUCGGGUCGUCGCAUCCUUAGUGGCGCGCUACAUCGGCGCCCGGAUGUAGUGGAAAAUGAGCAAGGGUCUUCGCAUUUGACUCGACGAGUGCGAAGGGUAAGGAAGCUAGCCGAGCCUAGGAGGAUUCGCUUAGGUAGCUGGAACGUAGGGUCUCUGACAGGGAAGCUUCGGGAGCUAGUUGAUGCAGCAGUGAGGAGAGGUGUUGAUAUCCUUUGCGUCCAAGAAACUAAAUGGAGAGGACAGAAGGCGAAGGAGGUGGAGGAUACCGGCUUCAAGCUGUGGUACACGGGGACGGCUGCAAACAGAAAUAGCGUAGGCAUCUUGAUCAACAAGAGCCUCAAGUAUGGAGUGGUAGACGUCAGGAGACGUGGGGACCGGAUUAUCCUGGUCAAGCUGGUAGCUGAGGACUUGGUUCUCAAUGUUAUCAGCGCAUAUGCCCCGCAAGUAGGCCACAAUGAGAACACCAAGAGGGAGUUCUGGGAAGGCUUGGAAGACAUGGUUAGGAGUGUACCGAUUGGUGAGAAGCUCUUCAUAGGAGGAGACCUCAAUGGCCACGUGGGUACAUCUAACACAGGUUUUGAAGGGGCGCAUGGGGGCUUUGGCUAUGGCAUCAGGAAUCAAGAAGGAGAAGAUGUCUUAAGCUUUGCUCUAGCCUACAACAUGAUUGUAGCUAACACCCUCUUUAGAAAGAGAGAAUCACAUCUGGUGACUUUUAGUAGUGGCCAACACUCUAGCCAGAUUGAUUUCAUCCUCUCGAGAAGAGAAGAUAGGCGUGCGUGCCUAGACUGUAAGGUGAUACCUGGGGAGAGUGUUGUACCCCAGCAUAAGCCGGUGGUUGCUGACUUCCGCUUUCGGAUUCGUGUCCAGCGGGAUAAGCGUGCCAAGGUCGCUAGAACGAAGUGGUGGAAGCUCAAGGGGGAGGUAGCUCAGGUGUUCAAGGAGAGGGUAUUUAAGGAGGGCCCUUGGGAGGAAGGAGGGGAUGCGGACAAUGUGUGGAUGAAGAUGGCGACUUGCAUUCGUAAGGUGGCCUCGGAGGAGUUUGGAGUGUCCAGGGGAAGGAGAAGCGAAGAUAACGAUACCUGGUGGUGGAAUGAUGAUGUCCAGAAGGCGCUUAAAGAGAAGAAAGAUUGCUUCAGACGCCUAUACCUGGAUAGGAGUGCAGACAACAUAAAGAAGUACAAGAUGGCGAAGAAGGCCGCAAAGCGAGCUGUUGGUGAAGCAAGGGGUCGGGCAUAUGAGGACCUCUACCAACGGUUAGGCACGAAGGAAGGUGAAAGGGACAUCUAUAAGAUGGCUAAGAUCCGGGAGAGGAAGAUGAGGGAUAUUGGCCAAGUCAAAUGCAUCAAGGACGGAGCAGGCCAACUCUUGGUGAAGGACGAAGAGAUUAAGCAUAGAUGGCGGGAGUACUUCGACAAGCUGUUCAAUGGGGAGAAUGAGAGUUCUACCAUUGAACUGAAUGACUCCUUUGAUGAGACCAGCAUGCGUUUUGUGCGGCGCAUCCAGGAGUCUGAGGUGAAGGAGGCUUUAAAAAGGAUGAAAGGAGGCAAGGCGAUGGGCCCUGAUUGUAUCCCCAUUGAGGUGUGGAAAGGUCUCGGGGACGUAGCGGUAGUAUGGCUAACCAAGCUUUUCAACCUCAUUUUUCGGGCAAACAAGAUGCCAGAAGAAUGGAGACGGAGUAUAUUAGUACCAAUCUUCAAGAACAAGGGGGAUGUUCAGAGUUGUACUAAUUACCGUGGAAUUAAGCUGAUGAGCCAUACAAUGAAGCUAUGGGAGAGAGUCAUUGAGCACCGCUUAAGAAGAAUGACAAGCGUGACCAAAAAUCAGUUUGGUUUCAUGCCUGGGAGGUUGACCAUGGAAGCCAUUUUCUUGGUACGACAACUUAUGAAGAGAUAUAGGGAGCAUAAGAAGGACUUGCAUAUGGUGUUCAUUGACUUGGAGAAGGCCUAUGAUAAGAUACCGCGGAAUGUCAUGUAG
rnacentral:rRNA from 1 species